rnacentral:rRNA from 1 species
UACGUAGGGGGCAAGCGUUGUCCGGAUUUAUUGGGCGUAAAGAGCGUGUAGGCGGCCAGGUAGGUCUGCUGUGAAAACUCGAGGCUUAACCUCGAGAUGUCGGCGGAAACCAUCUGGCUAGAGUCCGGAAGAGGAGAGCGGAAUUCCUGGUGUAGCGGUGAAAUGCGCAGAUAUCAGGAGGAACACCCCGUGGCGAAGGCGGCUCUCUGGGACGGUACUGACGCUGAGACGCGAAAGCGUGGGGAGCGAACAGG